UGAGGGUGAUGCCAUCGCAAUGACGCAACACACAUCAAGGGGACAGCUUGCAGAGUGAACACAAAAAACUGGGACAUUACUGCAGGCUACGCCUCAUACAACACCCUCGCAGCCUGCCACAUUCCCGCUGGCCCUCUAAUGAACGGAAACCCAGGGCGGAUCUGUCACCAGAACACUGUCCUGUGCAGCCUGGAAAUGGUGGAGCCAAGCAGCCUACACACAGUCUGUCACACAGGGGAGGAGAGCAGAAGAAAUCUAAACAUGUAAAAUAACACUGUACUUCCAUUUGAACAGCUGUGAGAAACGCAGAACUUUUAUGAAUCUGUCCGUUCCAGAUGCAGCUGUGAUGUUGAGAAUGUAGUUCGGCUGGACCCACAGAAUGAAAGCCUGAUGUCUUUUAUGCAAAAGUCAAUAUCUGUUUGUUGGCUCAGACAACCCUUCAAGAGGGGAAAAGAGAAAGAGAGAUCAGUAAAGUCUUUUGUGAAUGACAGAUACAUUUAAAUGGUACUUUGAGUUGAUUAUUACAAUUUCAAAUAGACCUUUUCUAUUUGAAUACAUGCAAAUAUGUAAUAUAUUCCUGUGAAUUUUCAUCUUUAUUAUUCCAGUCUUUACUGUCCUGCAGAAAUCAUUCUAAUAUGUUGAUCUGGAGCUCAAAAAUGUGAAAUAGAAAGACUAUAAAUAUUAUGCAUCUUUACUGUCACUUUUUAUUAUUUUGGUUAUUCAGUGCAUCCUUGCUGAAUAAAAUAUGUAUUUUUAAAUAAUUCAAAAAUGUAGUAUGUAGAAUUCACUGUGCAACCAAUUAUUCAGUAAUUCUUUUGGGAGAUCUGCUUACAGUCAGAGCUCGAGCUGGUGUAAGUGUGUUUAUAGUGUGAAACACUUGAAUCCAUGCAUGUGGCUGUGAAAGAGAAUGAACAGAAGACAGAGUUAACCUUUACUGUUAGACAUUCAGAUCAAUACAUUUAUAAACCAUGUUCUAUUAAUUAAUUUAUCUCUGUCUUAUUUUAAAUGCUUUCAGGCUGAAAGUUAUCUGAGAUUCUAAACAUAAGUACCUUUCGGUUUAGCACAUUUAUUUUUCAGCUGGUUAUACUAACACGCUCUUUAAAUAACAAAGAAAAAACAUUGCGCCAGACUUUAGACCAGGUCUGAGUUGGUCUAUGGCGCAGUCUAUUUUCAGCUACUUAAAAUAACAUUGCGCCAGCAAUGCGCCUGAACACACCUCUUUUUAGACCAGCACGCCGAUGGGCGCACAAAUGAGCACAAAUGCAUUUGCUAAUUAAACGACGUGGAGCUGGACAGGAAAAUGCGAGUGCGGGUGUAUGAUAGGGCCCACAGUUGCAAUCGAAUUGUACACGCGAGAACCUCUGAGUCACAAUGGCAUGUGAGCAUAUAAAGUUUGAUAAAUAUUCCUUAUACUGUUUAGGAUGUUUAUGACCCUACAAAGCU
rnacentral:lncRNA from 1 species